rnacentral:tRNA from 1 species
GAGCUGGAGCUCAGUGGCAGAGCGCUUGCUUAGCACACACGAGGCCCUGGGUUCGAUCCUCAGCGCCACA